rnacentral:rRNA from 1 species
UACGUAGGGGUCGAGCGUUGUCCGGAGUUACUGGGCGUAAAGCGCAUGCAGGCGGCUCAUUACGCAUGGCGUGAAAGCCCCCGGCUCAACCGGGGAGGGUCGUCGUGAACGGGUGAGCUUGAGGGUAUCAGGGGCUGGUGGAAUUCCCGGUGUAGUGGUGAAAUGCGUAGAGAUCGGGAGGAACACCUGUGGCGAAGGCGGCCAGCUGGGAUACACCUGACGCUGAGAUGCGAAGGCGUGGGGAGCGAACGGGAUUAGAUACCCCUGUAGU